rnacentral:tmRNA from 1 species
GGGGGCGAACUGGGUUCGACCGGGCAGGUUGAGGCGAAAGUGGCGCGCCGUGGUUGGUCAGCAGGCCACGUUAAAAGCCGACCAAAACUUUAAGUGCCGAGAGCAAUCUCGCCCUUGCUGCGUAAGAACACGCAGCACCGACUGCGGGCCUUCGCCGGAGAGGCCCAAAAGCCGGCCAUCAAUUCCGGAUCGUCUUGGGUCAACGCCGGGUAUCCCCAAGACUAAACCCAGUUCCUGGCUGGCUCGGAAGGCGCCCCGUCGGUUGGGGGCCUCCGAGUGACACUCAAAUCAUCCGACUACGCGCGUAGAGGCUUUCGCUGAAAUGCUUCGGGACGCGGGUUCAAUUCCCGCCGCCUCCAA